rnacentral:tRNA from 2 species
GGAGAGGUGGCCGAGUGGCUGAAGGCGCUCCCCUGCUAAGGGAGUAUACGGGAGACCGUAUCGAGGGUUCGAAUCCCUUCCUCUCCGCCA